rfam:Triticum aestivum genome assembly, contig: Triticum_aestivum_CS42_TGACv1_scaffold_145879_2BS
CAACUACUCCCUCUGUCCUAAAUUUCUUGUCUUAGAUUUGUAUAGAUACGGAUGUAUCGAAUAGAUUUGUAUAGAUACGGAUGUAUCGAAUACUAAAAUGUGACUUGAUACAUCCGUAUCUAGACAAAUCUAAGACAAGAAUUUUGGGACGGAGGGAGUACAUU